GACGAACGCUGGCGGUGUGCUUAAUACAUGCAAGUCGAACGAUAAGGCCCUUCGGGGUACAUAAGUGGCGGACGGGUGAGUAAUACGUAGGUAAUUUGCCUUGAGGUGGGGGAUAACGUUGGGAAACUGACGCUAAUACCCCAUAUGUGCAAAGUUGAAAUACUUUGCAUGAAAGCUCCGGCGCCUUUAGAUGAGCCUGCGGCUGAUUAGCUUGUUGGUGGGGUAAGAGCCUACCAAGGCUAUGAUCAGUAGCUGGUCUGAGAGGAUGAUCAGCCACAAUGGGACUGAGACACGGCCCAUACUCCUACGGGAGGCAGCAGUAGGGAAUUUUGCGCAAUGGGCGAAAGCCUGACGCAGCAACACCGCGUGAGCGAUGAAGCCUUUUGGGGUGUAAAGCUCUGUCAGUGGGGAAGAAUUAAUGACUGUACCCACAGAGGAAGCAUCGGCUAACUACGUG
rnacentral:rRNA from 1 species